UCACCACGCUGAGUCUUGGCACUGGGAGAAUUCACAGGAGAUAAAUGAUUACCCGUGAAUUUCCUGAUGCCUUAGCGCAGUGUGGUUA
rnacentral:pre_miRNA from 1 species